rnacentral:rRNA from 1 species
AUACGGAGGGUGCAAGCGUUAUCCGGAUUUAUUGGGUUUAAAGGGUGCGCAGGCGGACCUGUCAGUCAGUGGUGAAAUCCCGGGGCUCAACCCCGGAACUGCCAUUGAUACUACAGGUCUUGAAUACGGUUGAAGUAGGCGGAAUGUAGCAUGUAGCGGUGAAAUGCAUAGAUAUGCUACAGAACACCGAUCGCGAAGGCAGCUUACUAAGCCGAUAUUGACGCCCAGGCACGAAAGCGUGGGUAGCGAACAGGAUUAGAAACCCUAGUAGUCC